rnacentral:rRNA from 1 species
CGGAAGAUAAAGUGGAUUAGCGGCGGACGGGUGAGUAACACGUGGGUAACCUGCCUUAGACAUUGGGAUAGCCUCGGGAAACCGGGAUUAAUACCAAAUAAAAUUAUAAUGACACAUGUCAUAACGAUCAAAACUCCGGUGGUCUAAGAUGGACUCGCGUCCCAUUAGCUAGUUGGUAGAGUAAAAGCCUACCAAGGCGACGAUGGGUAGCCGGCCUGAGAGGGUGAACGGCCACAUUGGAACUGAGAAACGGUCCAA